GCCCAGACUCCUACGGGAGGCAGCAGUGGGGAAUAUUGCACAAUGGGGGAAACCCUGAUGCAGCGACGCCGCGUGAGCGAUGAAGUAUUUCGGUAUGUAAAGCUCUAUCAGCAGGGAAGAAAAUGACGGUACCUGACUAAGAAGCCCCGGCUAACUACGUGCCAGCAGCCGCGGUAAUACGUAGGGGGCAAGCGUUAUCCGGAUUUACUGGGUGUAAAGGGAGCGUAGACGGUUACGCAAGUCUGGAGUGAAAGGCGGGGGCCCAACCCCCGGACUGCUUUGGAAACUGUGUAACUGGAGUACAGGAGGGGCAGGCGGAAUUCCUGGUGUAGCGGUGAAAUGCGUAGAUAUCAGGAGGAACACCGGCGGCGAAGGCGGCCUGCUGGACUGAAACUGACGUUGAGGCUCGAAAGCGUGGGGAGCAAACAGGAUUAGAUACCCCGGUAAUC
rnacentral:rRNA from 1 species